GCUGGAGACUUUGAGCAUACUCUGGCUUGGGAGGCUGCCCGAUUUGUGAAUUGUUUAUUGCGCAAUUAACCUCAUUUAAAAUUUAUUCGGCUGAAGUUUUUCUUUUAUCAGGUGGUGUCAGAAGUGGGGUUGGAAGUAGAGCUUCUAAUGACCCCCAGAAGUGCUGAGUGACCUAGCGAGGUACCCUCCAGGCCCAUUGUGUCUCUUUCUCUCUCGGAGCAGCUGGG
rnacentral:lncRNA from 10 species